CCUACGGGGGGCAGCAGUGGGGCAUAUUGGGCAAUGGAGGCAACUCUGACCCAGCAACGCCGCGUGAAUGAUGAAGGUCUUCGGAUUGUAAAGUUCUGUGAUGGGGGAUGACCACAAUGACGGUACCCCAAUAGCAAGCCACGGCUAACUACGUGCCAGCAGCCGCGGUCAUACGUAGGUGGCAAGCGUUAUCCGGAAGUACUGGGCGUAAAGGGUGCGUAGGUGGUUUAGUAAGUUGGCGGUGUAAUUCCGGGGCUCAACCUCGGCGCUAACACCAAAACUAUUAGACUAGAGUUCAGGAGAGGUAAGUGGAAGUCCUAGUGUAGCGGUGGAAUGCGUAGAUAUUAGGAGGAACAUCAGGGGCGAAGGCGACUUACUGGACUGUAACUGACACUGAGGCACGAAAGCGUGGGGAGCAAACAGGAGUAGAUACCCGGGUAGUC
rnacentral:rRNA from 1 species